AUAUUAAAUAAGUGCCUGAAGAGCGGACGCCGAAAACAAAGGCAAAGCCAAAGGCUCAGAACCUUGAAAAUUUUAUAGUUUUGAAAGCUAGUAUACACCUUAAGCGUUGCGGUAGUAAAGAAUAAAAACCGAAGCUGAAGGUUAAAAAAAUCAGCGAAAAGAGCGUACACGAGUGAGAUUCACUCUUUGUACAAGGAAUCAAAACGGAGAGUUUGAUCCUGGCUCAGGAUGAACGCUGGCGGUAUGCUUAACACAUGCAAGUCGAACGGACUCUUCGGAGCUAGUGGCGGACGGGGGAGUAACGCGUGAGAAUCUGGCGUCAGGUUCGGGACAACAGUUGGAAACGGCUGCUAAUACCGGAUGUGCCCUGGGGUGAAAGAUUUAUCACCUGAAGAUGAGCUCGCGUCUGAUUAGCUAGUAGGUGUGGUAAGAGCGCACCUAGGCGACGAUCAGUAGCUGGUCUGAGAGGAUGAUCAGCCACACUGGGACUGAGACACGGCCCAGACUCCUACGGGAGGCAGCAGUGGGGAAUUUUCCGCAAUGGGCGAAAGCCUGACGGAGCAAUACCGCGUGAGGGAGGAAGGCUCUUGGGUUGUAAACCUCUUUUCUCAGGGAAGAAUGAUGACGGUACCUGAGGAAUAAGCAUCGGCUAACUCCGUGCCAGCAGCCGCGGUAAUACGGAGGAUGCAAGCGUUAUCCGGAAUGAUUGGGCGUAAAGCGUCCGCAGGUGGCAAUGUAAGUCUGCUGUCAAAGCGUCUGGCUCAACCAGAUAAAGGCAGUGGAAACUACAUAGCUAGAGUAAGGUAGGGGUAGAGGGAAUUCCUGGUGUAGCGGUGAAAUGCGUAGAGAUCAGGAAGAACACCGGUGGCGAAAGCGCUCUGCUGGACCUUAACUGACACUGAGGGACGAAAGCUAGGGGAGCGAAUGGGAUUAGAUACCCCAGUAGUCCUAGCCGUAAACGAUGGAUACUAGGCGUUGCCCGUAUCGACCCGGGCAGUGUCGUAGCUAACGCGUUAAGUAUCCCGCCUGGGGAGUACGCAGGCAACUGUGAAACUCAAAGGAAUUGACGGGGGCCCGCACAAGCGGUGGAGUAUGUGGUUUAAUUCGAUGCAACGCGAAGAACCUUACCAGGGCUUGACAUGUCCGGAAUCCUCUUGAAAGGGAGGAGUGCCUUCGGGAGCCGGAACACAGGUGGUGCAUGGCUGUCGUCAGCUCGUGUCGUGAGAUGUUGGGUUAAGUCCCGCAACGAGCGCAACCCUCGUUCUUAGUUGCCAUCAUUAAGUUGGGAACUCUAAGGAGACUGCCGGUGACAAACCGGAGGAAGGUGGGGAUGACGUCAAGUCAGCAUGCCCCUUACGCCCUGGGCUACACACGUACUACAAUGCUAUGGACAAAGGGCAGCAAGCCAGCGAUGGCAAGCAAAUCUCGUAAACCAUGGCUCAGUUCAGAUCGCAGGCUGCAACUCGCCUGCGUGAAGUCGGAAUCGCUAGUAAUUGCAGGUCAGCAUACUGCAGUGAAUUCGUUCCCGGGCCUUGUACACACCGCCCGUCACACCAUGGAAGCUGGUCACGCCCGAAGUCGUUACCCUAACCUUUCGAGGAGGGGGACGCCGAAGGUAGGACUGGUGACUGGGGUGAAGUCGUAACAAGGUAGCCGUACCGGAAGGUGUGGCUGGAUCACCUCCUUUUUAGGGAGACCUACCUAAAGAACAAAGAACAAAGAACAAAGAACAAGAAAUUUUUGUUUUUUUCUUCUUGAUAAAAUGUUCUGUCUUUAGGACAUCCCGAGGUCGGUCGCAAUCUUAAGGUAAGCUUUCAAACUAUAAACAGGGUUCGAUUAUGGGCUAUUAGCUCAGGUGGUUAGAGCGCACCCCUGAUAAGGGUGAGGUCCCUGGUUCGAGUCCAGGAUGGCCCACCUGAAGACAGUGAACACUCAACAGCGAACAGUCAACAGUAAAAAACUGGUAGCUGGUAACUGGUAAGUGAAAACUGACUUAGGGGGGUUUAGCUCAGUUGGUAGAGCGCCUGCUUUGCAAGCAGGAUGUCAGCGGUUCGAGUCCGCUAACCUCCACCUACUCCACCAAAAAAAAUGCCACAAAAAAAAUUGCUGAGAAGCAACAAGCAAAAAAAGUGAGAGAAAACUUUUUGUUGGCAAACGAGGGUGGUAGAAUGAGAAAAUGUGGGUGAAUUCAGCAAUAUGACGUUCGUCAGACUGCUGGGUGUGAACCAGCCAGAACCUUGAAAACUGCAUAGUAACGCGAAGCAGGUAGACACAGACAUACUAUGAUUGCAUGGAUGAAAGUGUUUGCUGAUAUAGAUUUCACCAAUUGUUGAGUGGUCAAGCGAAUAAGGGCUAAUGGUGGAUACCUAGGCACACAGAGGCGAAGAAGGACGUGGUGACCGACGAAACGCUCCGGGGAGCUGGAAGCAAGCGACUGAGCCGGAGAUAUCCGAAUGGGGCAACCCCAAGUACUGCCUGUUGAAUAUAUAGACAGGUCAGAGCCAACCCAGCGAAUUGAAACAUCUUAGUAGCUGGAGGAAAAGAAAUCAAUCCGAGAUUCCCCAAGUAGUGGUGAGCGAACGGGGAAGAGCCUAAACCAACGAGCUUGCUUGUUGGGGUCGUGGGACAGCGAUAUCGAAUCUGGCGGUUAGACGAAGCAGAUAAAUACUGCACCAAAGAAGGUGAGAGUCCUGUAGUCGAAAACUAAAGGAUAGUAGCUGAAUCCCGAGUAGCAUGGGGCACGAGGAAUCCCAUGUGAAUCAGCGAGGACCACCUCGUAAGGCUAAAUACUACUGUGUGACCGAUAGUGAACCAGUACCGCGAGGGAAAGGUGAAAAGAACCCCGAUAAGGGGAGUGAAAUAGAACAUGAAACCAUUAGCUUACAAGCAGUGGGAGGACGAUUCAACGUCUGACCGCGUGCCUGUUGAAGAAUGAGCCGGCGAGUUAUAAGCACUGGUAGGUUAAGUCACGGACGUAGCCAAAGCGAAAGCGAGUCUGAAAAGGGCGCUGAUCAGUGUUUAUAGACCCGAACCCGGGUGAUCUAACCAUGUCCAGGAUGAAGCUUGGGUAACACCAAGUGGAGGUCCGAACCGACCGAUGUUGAAAAAUCGGCGGAUGAGGUGUGGUUAGGGGUGAAAUGCCAAUCGAACCCGGAGCUAGCUGGUUCUCCCCGAAAUGUGUUGAGGCGCAGCGGUAACGACUAUACCUGGGGGGUAAAGCACUGUUGAGGUGCGGGCUGGGAGACCGGUACCAAAUCUCGACAAACUCAGAAUACCCAGAGAACACGUUGCCAGUGAGACGGUGGGGGAUAAGCUUCAUCGUCAAGAGGGAAACAGCCCAGACCACCAGCUAAGGUCCCCAAAUCAUCGCUAAGUGGCAAAGGAGGUGGGAGUGCACAGACAACCAGGAGGUUUGCCUAGAAGCAGCCACCCUUGAAAGAGUGCGUAAUAGCUCACUGGUCAAGCGCUCCUGCGCCGAAAAUGAAUGGGACUAAGCGAUGUACCGAAGCUGUGGACUUAGAAAUAAGUGGUAGGGGAGCGUUCCGUAGUAGAGAGAAGCACUAGCGGCGAGCAGGUGUGGACGAAACGGAAGUGAGAAUGUCGGCUUGAGUAGCGCAAACAUUGGUGAGAAUCCAAUGCCCCGAAACCCCAAGGGUUCCAGAGCCAGGUUCGUCCACUCUGGGUUAGUCGGGACCUAAGGCGAGGCUGAAAAGCGUAGUCGAUGGACACAGGGUCAACAAUCCCUGACUAUUAAGCCGGAGCAUACACUCGACGCAUAAAGAUAAGCUACACCCUGACUGGAUUGGGAGGUGUCUACGGACGCCGCGUAGUGAAAAUAGUGCCAAGAAAAGCGGUGUAUGUGAUGAAAGCUUAGUACCCGUACCCCAAACCGACACAGGUGGGGGGGUAGAGAAUACUAAGGGGCGCGAGAUAACUCUCUCUAAGGAACUCGGCAAAAUGGCCCCGUAACUUCGGAAGAAGGGGUACCCGAGCAAUCGGGUCGCAGUGAAGAGGCCCAGGCGACUGUUUACCAAAAACACAGGUCUCCGCCAACUCGUAAGAGGAAGUAUGGGGGCUGACGCCUGCCCAGUGCCGGAAGGUUAAGGAAGUUGGUCAGGGGUUCGCCCUAAAGCUGACGACUGAAGCCCCGGUGAACGGCGGCCGUAACUAUAACGGUCCUAAGGUAGCGAAAUUCCUUGUCGGGUAAGUUCCGACCCGCACGAAAGGCGUAACGAUCUGGGCACUGUCUCGGAGAGAGACUCGGCGAAAUAGGAACGUCUGUGAAGAUACGGACUACCUGCACCUGGACAGAAAGACCCUAUGAAGCUUUACUGUAGCCUGGAAUUGGGUCCGGGCUUGGCUUGCGCAGGAUAGGUGGGAGGCAUUGAAACACUCCUUGUGGGGAGUGUGGAGCCAACGGUGAGAUACCACUCUGGCGAAGCUAGGAUUCUAACCCGUUUCCGUCAUCCGGAAAGGAGACAGUUUCAGGUGGGCAGUUUGACUGGGGCGGUCGCCUCCUAAAAGGUAACGGAGGCGCACAAAGGUUCCCUCAGCACGCUUGGAAACCGUGCGUUGAGUGUAAAGGCAAUAAGGGAGCUUGACUGCAAGACCAACAAGUCGAGCAGGGGGGAAACACGGUCUUAGUGAUCCGACGGCACAGCGUGGAAUGGCCGUCGCUCAACGGAUAAAAGUUACUCUAGGGAUAACAGGCUGAUCUCCCCCAAGAGUCCACAUCGACGGGGAGGUUUGGCACCUCGAUGUCGGCUCAUCGCAACCUGGGGCGGAAGUACGUCCCAAGGGUUGGGCUGUUCGCCCAUUAAAGCGGUACGUGAGCUGGGUUCAGAACGUCGUGAGACAGUUCGGUCCAUAUCCGGUGCAGGCGUAAGAGUAUUGAGAGGAGCCCUCCUUAGUACGAGAGGACCGGGAGGGACGCACCGCUGGUGUACCAGUUAUCGUGCCAACGGUAAACGCUGGGUAGCCAAGUGCGGAGCGGAUAACCGCUGAAAGCAUCUAAGUGGGAAGCCCACCUCAAGAUGAGUACUCUCACAGCAAUAAGCUGGUAAGGUCACAGGAAGAACACCUGUUGAUAGGCGGGCGGUGUAAGUGCAGUGAUGUGCUCAGCCAACCCGUGCUAAUAGACCGAGGGCUUGACUUCAACAACAUUGAUGAAUGAAAUUCGCGUUACUGUGCAGCCUUCAGGGUUUUGAAUCAGUUCUCAGUUAUGACUUAUCACUAAAGAUGAUGCAUGAUAACUGUUAACUGUUUACUGACCACUGUUUUUCCUGGUGCCUAUGGCGCGGUGGAACCACUCUGACCCCAUCCCGAACUCAGUUGUGAAACGCUGCUGUGGCGACGAUAGUUGGCGGGUAGCUGCCUGUGACAAUAGCUCGGUGCCAGGAC
rnacentral:rRNA from 1 species